UACGUAGGGAGCAAGCGUUGUCCGGAAUCAUUGGGCGUAAAGAGCGUGUAGGCGGCCAGGUAGGUCUGCUGUGAAAACUCGAGGCUCAACCUCGAGACGUCGGCGGAAACCAUCUGGCUAGAGUCCGGAAGAGGAGAGUGGAAUUCCUGGUGUAGCGGUGAAAUGCGCAGAUAUCGGAAGGAACAUCAGUGGCGAAAGCGACUUCCUGGACCAAUACUGACGCUCAUGUGCGAAAGCGUGGGGAGCAAACAGG
rnacentral:rRNA from 1 species